CUUAUAUACAUUUUUUAAACAAAACUAUCUUUCCACUUCAAUUCCCACUUAAGCCCUGAGUACUAUCUUUCCACUUCAAUUCCCACUUAAGCCCUGAGUACUCAAUACUCUCUCUCAAUAGAGUGAUGAAAGGCGGCAAUAGGGGCAAACGGGCAAUAAUGAACGGUGAACGAAGAACGGUACCCAACAACGAACUGUUGGCGGAAGUGGAGAAACUACAAUUGACCUUUGCCAUUGAAGAUCUGAGUUGAUCAUAGAUAAAAGCUGGAUGCAUGAACCAAAGUUCACUAAACGAUAUAUUGAGGGUAUCCAAUCUUUUAUACGGCUUGUUCGAUCUCACUUUGACCGAAAUACCAAAGUUUGAUGCCCAUGUAUAGAUUGCUUAAAUGUGUUUUUUCAAAUACAAGAAGUAGUGCAUGACCACUUAUUGCUCGAAGGAAUUAUGAAAAGUUAUGUGCAUUGGAGACACCAUGGGGAACAAUCACAAAUGAGAGAUAACAAUGAAGCAAUUUACAGUGAAGAUGAAAACAAAGCCCAUGAUAAGGAUGAUGGGAUUCGUACUAUGUUAGACGAGAUAGCUGAAGAAUCUUUUGGCAAUUAUUCGAAGGAGACUGGUAAUAAGGUGUGUAGUAAUAUAAGUGAGAAAGAAGCUACAACAUUUGACAAAUUGCUAAAAGAAGCUAAACGUGAAUUAUACCCGAGAUGUAAGAAAUUUUUUAAUCUUUCAUUUCUUGUAAAGUUUCUAUACGUGAAAGUAUACAAUCAGUGGAGUAAUAAAUUAUUUGAUAUGUUGUUGGAGUUUCUAAAAGAGGCAUUGCCUACUGAUGAGACAUUUCCUAAGUCAUAUUAUGAUCAGAAAAACAUGUUGCAGAGUUUGGGAUUAGGAUAUAUUUCGAUCCAUGCUUGUAAAAAUAAUUGUGUGUUUUACUAGGCUAAACAUAAAGAUAGACAAAAAUGUCCACAUUGUGGUACUUUGAGGUGGAAAAUUGACAAUGGAAAGGAUAAAAGGAUUCCUCAUAAAGUUCUGCGAUAUUUUUCAUUAAAGCCAAGACUUCAAAAGUUAAUUAUGUCUAGUAAAACAAGUGUGGACAUGAGGUGGCAUAAAGAGAAACAUCUUGAUGAGGUGAAUAUAUUAAGGCAUCCCACUGAUUCUAAAACAUGGAAAGAGUUUGACAAGAAUCAUUAGUGGUUUGCACAAGAAUCUCGUAAUAUUAGACUCGGUCAUGUAACUGAUGGUUUUAAUCUAUAUGGUAACAUGAGCACUCCAUAUAGUAUGUGGCCUAUCAUUCUAGUUCCUUAUAAUCUUUUUCCAUAGAAAUAUUUUAAGGACCUAUUUAUGAUGAUGUCAUUACUUAUUCCUGGUCCCCAAGCACCAAGAAAGGAUAUUGAUAUUUAUUUGCAUCCUUUAGUUAAUGAGUUGAAAGAGUUAUAGAGUUAUGGUGUAGAGACAUUUGAUGCAUCAACUAGGGAAUGCUUCAAAAUGCAUGCUGCUGUUUUAUGGAUCAUAAAUGACUUUCCAGCUUUUGGCAAUUUAUCUGGAUGGAGCACUAAGGAAUACAUGACAUGUCCUACUUGCAAUAAGGAUACAUCUUCACAAAGGUUAAGAGCUAAAAUUUCUUACAUGGGUCACCGUCAGUAUCUUGAAUCUAGUCACUCUUGGAGAAGAAGAAAGAAAUUUGAUGGAAAGAUAGAAAAAAAAGAAUAAAGCCAAAAGAGCUCUCAGGUGAUGAUAUCUUGCAACAAUUGGAUUUUCUCAGCACUUAUAGACCACAAAAAUGCUUAAAUAAUAAAAUAAAGAAACGUCUUCCUGAAGAGCUGAAUUGGGUGAGGAGAAGCAUUCUAUUUGAGUUGCCCUACUUGAAGAACUUGAAGUUUCAACAUAAUUUAUAUGUCAUGCACAUAAAAAAGAACAUUUGUGAGGCUAUUCUAGGGAUAUUAUUGAAUAUUGAGGGGAAAACUAAAGAUAAAUAUAAAUCAAGACAAGACCUAGAGGAUAUGAACAUAAGAAAAGAACUGUGGUUGCAACAUGAUAGUUCUAAUUAUACAAUGUCUGGUGCUUGUUAUAAUAUGUCAAAAGAAGAGAAAAAGAAGUUUUCAGCAUUGUUAAAAUCUAUUAAAUUUCCUGAUGGCUAUGCUUCAAAUAUCUCAGGGUGUGUAAAUGGGAAUGAUGGUAAGAUAACUAGACUCAAAAGUCAUGACUAUCAUAUUUUGUUACAUCGAGUGCUGCCUAUUGCUAUUCGUGGAUUUAAAAAUAAAGAUGUCUCUUUAGCAUUGAUUGAGUUAAGUGAUUUUUUCCGACGAUUAUGCUAUAAGACAUUGAGACAGGAUGACUUGGCACAACUAUAAAGGGAUAUAGUUGUUAUUUAUGUAAACUUGAAAUGAUCUUUCCACCUGCUUUUUUCGAUGUUAUGGUACAUUUGGCUGUGCAUUUACCAUAAGAGGCAAUGUAUGAGGGACCAGUACAAUAUCGUUGGAUGUACAAAAUUGAGAGGUUCUUGUGCAAGCUUAAGCAUUAUGUCUGAAACAAGGCACGACUUAAAGGUUCUAUUGCUGAAGGCUAUAUUAUUAAUGAAUGUUUGACAUUUUUCUCUAUGUAUCUUGAUGAUAUUAAGACUAGAUUUAAUCGUAAAGACAGAAAUGAUGAUGGAUCUAGCAAUAAUUAUGGGCCUAUUUUAGAAAUAUAUUUAAAAAGUGUUAGACCAUAUAAAGAUGGAGAUUAUGAUGCCAUACCAAAAAAAAAUUUUGAUAUGGCUCAGUGGUAUGUGUUGAAUAAUUGUGAAGAAGCAGAACCUUUUCUUGAGUAAGUAUUUCUUUUAUAUAUAUUUACAUAUGUUGAUAUUUUUUAUUUAAACUGUUUCUAAAUAACUUACUUUGUUACAUGCAAAGAGCAUAAAGAAGAGCUAUUGAAGCAAGGUAUUGUGUAUAUAGAAGAAAAACAUAGAGAACAAUUUUCUUCUUGGUUCAGAAGGAAAGUAAGUGACUUUAAGAGAAUAAUCAUAUUGUGUGUUUAAAUUUUAUCAUUUUAUUCUUUACUAAUUGAAAGCAAUAACUUUUCCUCAUAGAUUAUGUAGUUAUUUAAUAAGGAGAAGUCAAGGUCUAUCAUGAAAAUAUAUCCUUUGGCUAUGGGUCCUGAUGUGCGUGGAAUAAAACAUACUGGUUGUAUUGUAAAGGGUGUUAGGUACCAUUUUCAGCAACGCAAUGAAUUACGUAAAAGUUAAAAUUGCGGUAUAGCUGUUAGAGGCCUUCAUGAAAAAGUGGAGAUUGAUUUUUAUGGUAUCAUAACAGACAUCCUUGAGUUAGAGUAUGUUGAAGAAAAUUGAGUUUUCCUAUUCAAAUACAAGUGGUUUGAUCUUCGCAAAAAAAUAGGGAUGCAAGAAGAUAAAAAUUUUACGAGCAUCUGUGUUAAAAGAUUUUGGUAUGAACAUGAUCCAUUUGUACUAGCUACUCAAGCAAAGCAAUUAUUUUAUAUUGAUGACCCAAAACUGGGGGAGUAUUGGUGAGUUGUGCUCAAAUUUCAAGCUGGGAACAUAUAUGAUGUGCCUGAAAAGGAAAACUCAGAGGUUGAAAAUGAUGAGUUGCUUGUUACAAAUGUUGAAGUGUAUCAAGAUACGUCACUUGAAAGUAAAUCAAUUGUUAAUGACACAGUUGAUAUGUUGAGUCAACUAUAUAGAGAUGAUGUUGGGUCGAUUACCAUAGGUGCAAAUAUAAUUGAAUUGGUGGCUCAAACAGAAUAUAAAGUUAAAGUUCACUAUAAUGGAGAAGAUUCUGACCAAGAGGAUGACACUAUGGUUGAGUACAUCAGUGACCAUGAGGAGAAUGAAGGUAAUAAUAGUACUACUAACAAUGAAGCUGAUAGCACAGAUGACAACGACGACAUUGACUUGUGAUGUAACCUUAUAAUAAGUAAGGUCAGUUACAUACAUGUUAAUAUAUAACUCUCCUAAAUUAUUUAUAUCUUCUUUAGUUGAUUUUAGGGGGAUGAAUUUCAUAAGUUAUUUGCAGACACGCCUAUUAAGCUGAAUCUUUGUGAAGGACUUUAGGGUGAUGAUGUUGCUUACCACGCACUUGUUGGUCACAUUGGUUGUGCCUUAUUAGCCUUUUCAGAACUUGGAGAACAAGAGUUGAUUAGAGAACCCUACGUGCCAAUCCAGAUUGUAACACCCAACAUUUUUUAGCUAGAAAUUAAACCGUCGUUCUUACGUGUGUGAACUCAAAUUCCAUGGUCUUUAUUUAAAUUCAUGUGUCAUGAUCUUUCUCCUGGUAUAUUAAGUGGUUAUAAGGUGAAAAGUGUUCAUAAUAAUGGCCUAAAGCAAAGUUGAGCUAAGAACCCUUCAUUCAUCCAAAAUUAUAUAUAUAAUUUGGUAGAUUAAGACCCACCAUAUUGUAGAUAAUCGAAUUAGCUUUCCAACGAUACCUAUUUCGCCUUAAUCCAAUACCUGAGCAAAAAGUUUUGCUAUUUUUUGUGUGAGGUAGUGAGGGGUCGCGAUAGCCCCGCGGCGCGAGGUCUACUUGACCCAAAUAAGGGUCGCGUCGCAAGGGAUAUUUAUCCCAACUAGGGGUAGUGACGUGGGGGCUAUUCCCGCACAGUUUUAGCUUCUUAAGGGUCAUGGGGCACUUUGGUCCUUCCCCUCGACCCCAAACGUCCAAAGGAUGAUUUAUAUCACCCAAAAACCAUCCAUAACCCUUAAAUUCAUUCCUCAAAGGAAUAAUAUGCCUUAUUACCCAAUUCCUCUAAAAAAAAUCCAACCCUAAUCCUUUCUCCAAAGAUCAAGAACUCAUCCCUAAGAUCAAGAAUUUCAAGAAAAGGAUCAAGAUCCAGGUUUCAUCUAUCAAGAACUAGGUUCCAUCUUUCAAAUCCUGUAAUCUAAGGUACAUGGGAUUUUUCUAAAACUACUUGGGAAUAAAGAAAAUUUUCAACAACUUUUAACAUUGUGAAAACAUGAACUUUGAAGGGUUUUUAGAAUUUAUAUUACAAUGUUGCUUUAUGAAUUCAUUAAUGACAUUAUUGUUUUAGUCUUGAGGUCGUUCCCCCAAAUUGAUUUUAAAUCUUAUAUAUAUAUAUAUAUAUAUAUAUAUAUAUGUAUGUAUGUAUGUAUAUGGUUAAAGUUGAUAACUGAAUUGAGAGCAUAAUUAUUUUUACUCCCUCUCAUGUUGUAAUACCUCUUGAUUUUUAGAAUGUUAUUUAGAAGCAUGGUAUUAAUGUUCCUGACUAUUGUUGAAUGAUGUAAGAUUGAUCUUUGAAUUGAUGAGAGGGGUUUUACAUGUUGAUAAAUGUUGAAUAUAUAUAAUAAAAGAAUUGCAUAGUUUGCCAAAAAUACGUGACCACCACAUGUUUGUUGAAAUGAUUGAAAAGAAUGAUCCUUGCAUAAUUUGAUAAAUAUUUGAAGAAUGAAUCUUCUUGAAUUGUUCGAAGUAUGGUGGUCCAAACUUUAUGUUUUGAAAGAAAACAAUAUGAUAUGAUAUUUUAUGUCUUAGAAAACAUGACUCAUAACAGACACAGAAUAGAAUGGAAAUCUGAUUUCACUCAGAUUUAUAGAUUUUGAAUUCAAAAAGAUGCAUGUUCAGAAAAGGCUAAAAUUAGGCAUAAAGAGAUGUUAGGUGGUUACCCAAAGAGGAAACAUAUCAGAAAACUCAUUUCCUGAAACCGUAUUUUAUAGAUACGGGUUAUUAUGUCCCCUAGAGAGAUUAUACGCUGGCCUAGUGCCUUGUGGCAUAUCAGACUCAGACACUCCAACUCUUGCAGCAAACUUGGGUUGGGGGAUUCCUCGCCGAGUCAAUAGAGGAUUUCAUAUAGCCCGUGGAAUAUCAGACUUGUAGGAAUUUACCACCUAACUCAGAAGUAAUACAAAGAUCAGAACUGCAUAGAAAAGAAUGUUUUAUGAACAUCAAAGAACUGCCCAUGUGUUUUAAACGAUAUCAUGCAUGAUUUUUUCAUGACUUUCUCUCAUCUCUUUUAUAUAUAUAAAUGUAUUAUUUUUUAUUUCUCUAUGUACCAAUAUAAUUGUAUUGACCUCCUAUCUUUUAGGGUCUGAGGCUUAGUCUAGAGGUCCUGUUAAGCCGUAGACUUGUUUCGAAAGAAGAGAUGUGUGUGCAGUUGGUGAGCCUUCUUUAUUUUGGAAAGCCUAUUUCUUUUCUGUCAGUUGUGAUUAAUUUGGUUUAGGUCCACUGGGGCCCUUGUCCCAGAUUCAGACAAGUUAUUGAUGUCUUAUGUAGUAAAGAUUUCGCAGACUGAGAAAGAUGUUGCUUAGAUGUUAAAAAACUUAUUUUUCGUAUUAUUGAACAAAUUUUAGAUUUAUGACCAUAAUUUCGUUUAUUAUAAUUCUGUAUCUUUUAUUUAUUAUACGAGCAUUGUGCAUAAUUACCGGAUGUAGAAGGGCGGUCGGGCCUCCAUGGUUCGGGAUGCUCGUUACGGCCAGGGCCCCAGCUCUAGUCGUGACACAGAUUCUUAUCAUAGAUUUUGAUGCAGUGUAUUUAGAAGCAGUACUCUUAGUCUACAUAUUUUUGUUGCUUUUUAUUGAAUUUUAGAGCUUUGUUCGCUUAAUUUUUUUAUUUUUCUGAUGAUAUUGAUCCUAUCGUGAUUACUGAUUCAUGCUUCUAUGUCUAAUCUUUAGCUUAUUUUCUCAUAUUUGUUUUUUGGUAUGAUGAUAAUAUUAGUUAAAGGAGAGUCUUGGAGUAACCCAUAAAGUUGCUACCAUGUGAUUAGGAGGUCACGAGUUCAAGCUGUGGAAACAGUCUCUGUAAAAUGCAGGGUGAGAUUGCGUACAUAGACCCUUGAGGUCUGGCUCUUCUUAAUAGCCUGCUCAUAGUGGGAACUUUAGUGCACCAGGCUACUCUUUAUGAUAAUAUUAGUUGAGGGUGAAUAAGAAAACAUGGUCAAUGAAGAUUCGUAUAGUCGAAGCAUAACUUGUUUGGGAUUGGGGCGUAUCUAUAGUUGUUCUGUUGUGAACAUGGAUAUCCUAGAGGCAGGCCAAACUACUGGUGCCUUAUAGUUUGGUAUUUUCAUAAUUCUCUUGAAGAAUUUUAUAAGGUAACCCAAAUAGAGUCACUUUACCUUAAACUUUCGGCUACCCAAAUGUAAUUGGUUGUUACUGGACAAGAUUGUUUUCCUAUGGGAUUCUUGUUGUAUGAUAAAUGUAUUUAAAUGAACUGCAACAUUCUAUUUUUUCUCCUCUAGAGGUGUCACUUGGUUGGGUCUGAUAAUGGGGUCAUGGAGUUGUUCUUUAAGGGCUUUGCAACAUUCUACAUAUGUUGUGCAUUGUGAAGAAGAUUUCUUAUUUCGUUGUUACCUCAUGUUAUGUUAAGGUUAUCAAUUGUAAAGAUGAGAUUGUACAGGGAUAUUUGAUGGAUUAUAUUAAAGUCUUCCGUGAUUAGUACCAUUUACAAACUCUUGAUUACUUGGUGCUUGCCCGUAAUUUCAGGUUUAUCAGGUUUUUCACUUAUACCUCAUCCCAUGUAUACUGUCUUAGUUCUGUACUACUUUGUCUUUAUCCCUGGCUGUAUCUUAUUUCUGUCAAUGGGUUUCUACAAUCAUGAGAAGUUUGGGUUUGCUAUAGUGUACUAGGUUAACAUAUUCUAUAGUCCAAGGCAUGAAUGUCACCUUUUCUGGCUUAAAGGCUUCAUAGUAUAAUGAGUUUAGCUUUUGAAUUUUCGUACCUGAUUAAUUUCAUGCAAGUAUUCUUUUUAUAUUACAAUGUAUUGUCAUUUCACUAUUUUUUACCUCAAAUUUAUUCUUCUUAUCGACAAUAUGCUUUUUUCUUGUUGAACAAUUUACUAGAAUAAAUCUUCAACAAUAGCUAAUAGAUGGGAUGUGGAUCAUGAUGAUCGUCCAAAAAAUAAAAGUGAAUAUACGCCCGUUUCUCAUCGUAGAGAUUGCUUAAGGAGAAAUAUGCUUAAAUUUGUGCUCUCUUUUCAGUAUUAAGUUCUCUGUUUAUACAAGCACAGUAAUGAAUAUGUUACACUGAAAAUAUCAGUGUGUUUCAACUUUUGGCCCCCUUCUAGAGAUUCUGAUUUCUGAAAUUCAGAUAUGACUGAAAAAUAUAUUGCUAUUGAGUUUUAGUGAUUUGAUCUAAUUGGUUAGGUCCUUUCUUGGAGAUACGAUUGCAUUUACGAAAGUUAUUUAUGGCUCACCAGCUUGCUGGACUAGUGGGGUACCUUCCAGAAAGCAUACUGAAAACAAUGCCUCUUCAGAUUGAAUGCAAACAUUUACUGGUCAUGGCCUUGGCUUAGCUGCAAUAAGUUCUAAGUAAAAUGGGAUGAAUUUGCGUUGCUUUGCAUUCUUUCCAUGUACGAGUUGUACUGCAAGGCUUUGAGCUUCUCAAACUAACACUUGAAUUAAUGCUUCUUUAAAGAAUGGAAAUAAGACUUUUUGGAUGUAAAAAGUUUACACAUGUCAAAACUGUUAUGCUUUCUGCUUGUUAAUCUCUGCUAUCUUUACAUGGCUGAUGGUGACAUGAUACUGAGGUUAUUAAAGGAUUUAAUAGCCUUCAUUGACCCGUUAAUUAUUCUUUUUUAGAAAAAAUGAAGAAACAGAGGUUAUGUGAAGAAUUCACUGAAUAUCCUGAGAUAGUAUUCCAAGAAAUUUUUGGUAAUAAGUGGGACACUUGGUCUUUUAGGCCUGAUAAAUCAUUUACUUUUGAAGAUCUUUUCUCUCGUAGACAAGAAAUAGACUGGUAAGAAAAAAGCCAUUGCAGAUGGGAUUAUGAAACUUUAUAAUUAAGACUAAGACGGAAUCCAACUAUGAAUCGUGUAAUGUGUAGGGUCUUCCUCUGAAAGAGUAGUUCUCAGUUUGCCUCCACGAGGUCCCCUAAAUAUGAGAAUGUCAAGAAUGCAUAAGUUUUAUAAGAUUUGUUCCCUCCAUACUCUUAUGUAUAUUUGAAGACUAAUGGAAACACUAUUAAGGCUAGGGCCAGUGGUAGAUUUCCUUCUUAAAAAUCAAAAUACAAGUGAUCCUUACCAGUAUCACAUUAUUUUAGGGUCAGUGGAGAUUCUCCAUAGGUAACACUUAUUCCACAUUAUGAUUGGGACAACAAGAUCUUUUAGAAGCUUUGUUACUGAUUGCUGAUUUAAUUCGUGUAGGUUAUUGGAUACAUAGAAGAAGAUGAUCGCAAUAAAUUUAGAUUUGACGGGGACAUUACACUCGAGAGGAUUAAGGUAGACUGUGAUAAAUAGUUGUUAGGUGCACAAAAUUUUGGUUAGGAAGUUCUAAACUAACAUGCUUAUUUUCUUUUCAUUCCUCAAGUAUUUAAUGAGGACUUUCUAGACGAUAAGCUCAAACCUUUCUAUAAAUUAGAUCUAGUUCCUGAGACUGUAAGCUACAGUUUCCUUCUGGCCUUUGACUCAUCAUAGUUCAUGUGUUGAUAUCUAUAAUUAUCGCAGAAUGAUGCUGAUGUGAAAAUCAUCAUUGGGAAUAAUUUUGAUGAAAUUGUUUUAAAUGAGUCAAAAGACGUGCUUCUUAAGGUAUGUUUAAGAAGUGAAUUUUCUUCCAGUGGUUUUCGUAAUCAACUGAAGUCAUCUAAGUUUAAGCAUGCACUUCAACAUCUUUUUUGUUAGAUCUAUGCACCAUGGUGUAGGCACUGCCAAGCUUUGGAAUCAAUAUUCAAUAAACUAGCACAUCACUUAAAUGGCGAUGAGUCUCUUGUUAUAGCCAAAAUGGAUGGAAUAAGAAACGAGCACCCCCGCUCUAAGGCAGUUUACAAUUAAUAAGUGGUUUAGCUUUAUCAUCAAGUUUUUUUAAUUUAUGAUCCUUUGUAGUUUAAAGGAUUCCUAAGUCUCCAAUUCUUUCCAGUAGGCAAUAAGAGCAGUGAUCUAGUAAGUUAAGUUUAUUUUGUUUGUGCUUGUGAACAAAGCAAGAUGCCAAAUGUUCAUGUGAUUCUACAGAUAUCCAACUUGUUUAAGACUGAGGCGUGGUUAUUAUUGUAUUUUACCCUACAGAUCCUGGUUCACUCUGAAGCUACUCUGUGGCAUUGUAUAAGUUUAUCAAGAAACAUGCAGUUAUCCCUUUCAAGCUUCAAAGACCAGCUUCUUGUAUUUUCUAAACUCAUGUUUUUUUUAUUACAUGGGAUGCCUUAUUGUGCGUCAAUCUUUGCAGAUUGAGAACAUAUGCCUAAGCACCAAAGCAUCUGUUAUUCUAAUUAUACCAGAUUCAGAAGGUCUCGAGAGAUAGUUCCUUUUUAGUUUCUGCUUUGAUAAUCUGCUAUGAUGUUUCUAAUGUAAGUUUACUUUAAUUUAUGAAAAACUGGAGCAAUUGAUUUGAUAGUUCACCCAAUGGCUUUUUAUUUUGCAUUCUUACUAUGUGAUUUGUGUUAUUGACAAUUCUUGUUCUUGCAAAGUGAAUAAUUAUGUUCGAUUCAUAUAGAACUCUGACUUUGCAGUUGUCUUAUCUGUUUUGCUUAUAGUGGUGAACCCUCAUCAUUUUGUUAUAUGCUUUAUUUCUUAGAGAUAGACAGAUACUUCUCAACUGCACUCCUGGCAUUGCAGUUGUGUUAUAUUUUUACUUAGGAGUGGUGAAGCUCUGUAUCAUCUUGUUAUAUGUUUUGUUUCUUAGAGAUAAAUGGUAGGCUAAUUUGCUUCAUAGUGCUUGCACAAAUGAUGUUUAACGUUACCUUUCUUUAUGAUCAGUGGUGAUGGUAGCGGUAGUAAGAAUUGCUUGUUAAAAAGUUUAUUUGCUUGUUUCUUGAGUCAUACUCAUCUUAGUUACUAUAUGUCUAAUCAUGCAGGAACUGAAAUCAAUCUAUUCUCUAUUGAUGCACUUAUAGUUUUCAUAUUUUGAGUACUUCACCGUGUUAAUCAUCCGGUGUUAAACUCCUUAUGUUACUCUGUUCUUGUUAAAUUCUCUUCACUCAUUUACUCCAUUCAACUUGGAUAUUGAUGCCUUAAAUCCUCUCUUUUUUGCUUGAUCCUAAAGGUAAAUCUUGAUAAGUCAUCACCAAAUGCUGGUUAUGUGAUGCUAAUAUUUGAUCAAUUUUAUGAUGGAAAUGUACACAGUCUUAUUCAGCUAACAAGAUUAUCUGAGUUCUUUCUCCGGUAUUUCAUUAGUCAUAGAAAGUAAAUAUAUAAGGCAUCUAUAUCUGAUUCUGUUGGUACACUUUCAGUCAGAGUCAUUAGGAGUUCGACAGUGAGCUUAUUGAACAUUUUGGCUCAUUUGUCAAAAUGCCUCUACUGAAACCUGAAAGAAAUCCUCCUCACAAGAUGAGUCAGAAUGUGUCCAGGUAGCAGCUGAAGAGAAAUUCAAAUCUUGUGUCACUACAUACAAGUCAUUGUGCAAUACAUUCUCCCCAACUUAAUAUUGGUUGGGCUUUCCUCACCUCUUGAACUAGAUAUUGGGUUAAGUAAGAUAUGAAGUUAGAAGUUAUAACACUGAGGUUGAUAUCUGGUUCAGCAAGGCAAUUGGUCGACCUUGCACUCUAUUAAGGAAUUCCGGUUCCUCUGCAUAGAUAAGAAUGGCAAUCCUGGCAUGUGCAGGGAUGUUGGUGCUAGAUUGAAUUUUGUUAACGAUGCCCAGUUUCUGCUGGUAUAUGAAGAAAGCAUAGCUGACCUCAACUCUAGGUUGAAAUCAAGAACUGGCAGUUCUACUCUUCCUAUAUAGUGAUUAACUCAGGGAUGAAUAUUUGGAUUGAAGUGGUGAGCUUCCAUCCUUUCCAAAGGCUCUAUUUCAUGUUAUGGAUAUUCUUAGACAUUUUGAUAUUAUUUUGCAUAUUGGUUUUGGCUAUGGUUGGGGGCAUGUCCCAACCAGACUUUAUUACUCUUUUUGUUAGAGGCUUUGCGCUACUGCUAUGGGUUAGAAUGGGUGAUUGGGCUAACAUCAUUGGACAUAAUUUCUUAUUAUUCCAUCAUAUUUUAUUUUGGUAUUAAUUAUAUUAUGUUUUG